GAGGGUAUAGUUCAGUGACAGAGAAUGUGCCUAGCAAGCACAAGGUCCUGGGUUCAAUCCCCAGUCCCUCCA
rnacentral:tRNA from 1 species